CAGGGAGUAGUUUAAUUAAAAAAUAUUAAUUUUGGAGAUUAAUGAUAGGAAUUUUCUUUUCUCUGA
rnacentral:tRNA from 1 species